rnacentral:rRNA from 1 species
UUAAUUUAUUGCAAAUAAUAGGUGGAAUUUCUAAUUUUAGUUAAAUUUUUUGUUGUAUUUUUCAUUUAGAGGCUACUAAGAUUAGGGUUUAGACUAGGAUUAGAUACCCUAUUAUUCCUAAUUUUAAAAAUUUUUGCUUGAGUAGUAACAGUUAUUUUCUUGAAAUUUAAAGGAUUUGGCGGUAUUUUAGUCUAGUUAGAGGAACCUGUGCAGUAAUCGAUAAUCCACGCAGCAUCUUACUUUUAUUUGCUUAAUUUGCAUACCGCCGUUAAUAAGUGUAGCUUAUAAGUUAAUACUGAAAUAUACAUGUAUAUAAAAUCUCAGGUCAAGGCGCAGUCUAUAUAAAAGUUGUCAUGGGUUACAAUAUUUUAAUAUUUGGAUAAAAGGUUGAAAUACUUUUUUGAAAUAGGAUUUAAUUGUAUUUUUGUUUUAAUAAGGCAGAUUGAUAUUAGCUCUAAAAUGUGUACAUAUUGCCCGUCGCUCUCACCC